AGGAUGAACGCUGGCGGCGUGCUUAACACAUGCAAGUCGAACGAACACUUUCGGGUGUGAGUGGCGGACGGGUGAGUAACGCGUGAGGAUCUGCCUACAGGACCGGGACAACAGUGGGAAACUGCUGCUAAAACCGGAUGUGCCGAGAGGUGAAAUAUUAAUAGCCUGUAGAUGAACUCGCGUCUGAUUAGCUAGUUGGUGUGGUAAAGGCAUACCAAGGCGACGAUCAGUAGCUGGUCUGAGAGGACGAUCAGCCACACUGGGACUGAGACACGGCCCAGACUCCUACGGGAGGCAGCAGUGGGGAAUUUUCCGCAAUGGGCGAGAGCCUGACGGAGCAACGCCGCGUGAGGGAGGAAGGCCUGUGGGUUGUAAACCUCUUUCUCAAGGAAGAAGUUCUGACGGUACUUGAGGAAUCAGCAUCGGCUAACUCCGUGCCAGCAGCCGC
rnacentral:rRNA from 1 species